GGUUGAUCCUGCCAGUAGUCAUAUGCUUGUCUAAAAGAUUAAGCCAUGCAUGUCUCAGUGUAAACAUUUAAACAGUGAAACUGCGAAUGGCUCAUUAAAACAGUUAUAGUUUAUUUGAUAAUCAUUUUUACAUGGAUAACCGUGGGAAUUCUAGGGCUAAUACAUGCGUAACCUCUCGGGGUGUGUUUAUUAGAUUAAAAGCUAACACCAUAGCAAUAUGGUAUCGUUGGAAUAAUAAUAACCGAUCGAAUCGCAAUUGCGAUAAAUCAUUCAAGUUUCUGACCUAUCAGGUU
rnacentral:rRNA from 1 species